CCAUUUACCGGGCUUUAACGGUUGUAGCUGCAUGAAGUCUGCUGCAAUUUCUCUGAGAUUUCUCAAGAUCAUCAGUUUGGACAGAAUUCAUUUGAAGAAUUAAUAGCACUAGCAGGUUCCAAUAAAGGCUGGAACAGAACAGACAGAAAAGAAUCUGUCAGAAGAAAUUCAACUACUGUUCGUGUACCAGAUGGUGAAGUAGAAAUGUUCUUAAAAACUUCUGCAGCUUGCAUUUGACAGAGAUGCAAAAAGAAUAAGAGAGCGGGCCUGAAAACAAGCAAAUUCAAGUCUUUCCUUCUUUUAGGGUACACUUGAGGAGUGUCCAGAUGUUUAUUAAUGUUUUAUUAAUGUAAUGUUAUGUUUCAAAUAAACAUGUAAACAUACUGUAUAUUUUUCUUUCUUUUUUAAACACCUACAGUAAAGUGUGACACUUAACACAUUAAAAGCAUCACAAACAUUGAGGAUAGAACUUCUAA